GGGGACGUUACGGAUUCGACAGGCACAGUUUGAGCUUGAAUUGCGUUUCGUAGGUUACGUCUACGUUAAAACGUUACAGUUAAAUAUAACUGCUAAAAACGAAAACAACUCUUACGCUUUAGCUGCCUAAAAACAGUUAGCGUAGAUCCUCUCGGCAUCGCCCAUGUGCUCGAGUAAGGGUCUCAAAUUUAGUGGGAUACGUAUCAACUUUCCGUCUGUAAGUUGAUAAAGAGAUUAUCAGACUAGCGAUAUAGAAUGCCUGUCACUCGGCAAGCUAUAAAGCGAAUCUAUAAAUGAGUUGACUAUGAACGUAGAUUUUUAAGUGGCGAUGUGUUUGGACGCGGGUUCGACUCCCGCCGUCUCCA
rnacentral:tmRNA from 1 species